ensembl:ncRNA T22A3.13 ncRNA
AGGAACGUAUAACAAAUUAGCAGGAACGUUGGGCUACCAACAAUUGAAAAAAUAAAACAAAAUUAAAAAUUUUAUGAAGCAAAAUUUUUAACCGGUUAAGCAACACCUGGAGUACCAGCAGCAUACGGUGGCGGUGGAAGCAUGUUGGCUCUUUUCAGGAGGCUCACAAUAUCAAUUGGACGAUUAUCGGAGAAAUUUGUAAUAUGGAUGGUCUAAUCCAAAGCAAACUUCGAAAAUAUUCAUAGCAUCAAAUGCGUAUGGCAUGGCUUCAUCUCUCUCGUCUUUUUCAAUUAAUGCUUUUACAAUAUGAAGAAGUUGGAAUCCAA